rnacentral:rRNA from 1 species
AUUUGCAGGCUACCAUGCAGUCGAACGGUAACAGGAAGCAGCUUGCUUCUUUGCUGACGAGUGGCGGACGCCUGAGUAAUGUCUGGGUUACUGCCUGAUGGAGGGGGAUAACUACUGGAAACGGUAGCUAAUACCGCAUAACGUCGCAAGUGGAAAGAGGGGGACCUUCGGGCCUCUUGCCAUCGGAUGUGCCCAGAUGGGAUUAGCUAGUAGGUGGGGUAACGGCUCACCUAGGCGACGAUCCCUAGCUGGUCUGAGAGGAUGACCAGCCACACUGGAACUGAGACACGGUCCAGACUCCUACGGGAGGCAGCAGUGGGGAAUAUUGCACAAUGGGCGCAAGCCUGAUGCAGCCAUGCCGCGUGUAUGAAGAAGGCCUUCGGGUUGUAAAGUACUUUCAGCGGGGAGGAAGGGAGUAAAGUUAAUACCUUUGCUCAUUGACGUUACCCGCAGAAGAAGCACCGGCUAACUCCGUGCCAGCAGCCGCGGUAAUACGGAGGGUGCAAGCGUUAAUCGGAAUUACUGGGCGUAAAGCGCACGCAGGCGGUUGUUAAGUCAGAUGUGAAAUCCCCGGGCUCAACCUGGGAACUGCAUCUGAUACUGGCAAGCUUGAGUCUCGUAGAGGGUGGGGAG